ensembl:lncRNA
ACACACACACACACACACACACACACACACUCCUUCCUCCCUUUGGAUAUUGUCACAUGAAGCUGUGAUGCUUGGGACUGUGGCAACCAUCUUGCCAACACGAGGGAGAAGGGUCUGAGUCUUAACAAUGUUGACUUUCCAUCUUGUUUGAUCUGAAUAUCAUAUGUUAUCCUCAAACUCACAGCUGAUUUCGAGCUAAAGAUUAUAUUCUUUUGAGCACCUUAGCAAAUCUUAUAUUGCAUAUUGAAUAUAGCACAGUAUGGUCCAGUCAUGUAAACUGACUGCUAGUGGAAUGUAAAUGAAUAUGUUUAUGAAUAAGCUUAGAGCAUUGUUGGUGAGUUUAUAUACGUCUAUGCCUGUAUAAUUCAAAACACUGUAGAUGUCAUACCUAUUACUAACAAUAGACCUCAAAAAUGGAAAAAUAAUGUGAAAAAGAAAUUUAUAUUUAUUUACAGGGAUAAAGACUCAUGCAUUCAUAAGAAAGAAGGAGCAAUAUGAUUGCUAGAUCAUAGUCUAGCCUAUAUGCUGAUGAAUAAAUCAUUAUAACAUAAAAAAAAAAAUGUUGACUUUCCAAAAUAUCCCAUUCUCGAGACAUCUUGUUAUGUGAGGAGAUGAACCCCCAUUUUAAACUAUUUUUAGGUUUUUGUGUGACCUCUGAUCCUGUUCUCUUGAUGAGCCGGAUGGUCAUCCCGGUCCUUUCCAAAUCUAAAACACUUGGUGAUUCCAACCAAUGACUAGUGCCCCUGAAUCAUCUUUCUCACCUUUCUUCUAAGAGAAAGUACUUUCAAUCCUGAAAUACAAAGAAUGAUCAUUAACAUCUGUAGACUUUCCCUCCCUUUAUCUCCUGUAAUCUUUAUCACAACUCCGAGGAGUAGGCACACCCAUUUGCAGAUGGAAGAAAAUGGAGGCUCAGAGUCAUUCAUGAUGUACCCAAGGUCUCCCUGCUAAGCUGGCUGAGCUGAGGCUUCAACAAACCCAGCUUCUCUGGCUCAUUCCUCCUUCCCCUGUGCCUCAGGGCCACAGGCACCAUUAUCUUUGGGCGAUUUAUAGCAGCAGACAAACUUCCAAUGUGAUUCAUUUCUCCUUGCUGUCCAGAGGAUCACUGAUCACUCUGAGAACAACUCCGCAAACAGUCAGAGAGUCCAAAAGGAAUGUUACCACCCACCAGUAGAUUCUUUUUUUCAAAUGAACUUACAGGGUCAGGCUCUGAUGUUUAUGUGAAAGGAGAUAAAGGCCACCUGUUCUUCUAGGAAUAUACUUUAAGGAAAGGAGAAUAUAUGACUUAUUUUGGAGAGGAUAUUUAUAACCUACCAAUCUAUAAACUCAGUGAUGAAUGACUUAAAGUCAGAGUUCUGCAGGGCCCUGGCAGAAUAGAAUUUACCCCGAUCAUGUGGUCCCGGCCUGAGAGGAAGAGGUGAAAGACGGUUAUGACAGGUGGAGCUGGUCUCUGUGUUCAUCACAGCUUGUUGCUGAUGGGUAACUGCUGCAGAACCUGGGGACAUAUACCUGCUGUCUCCAUCUCCAAAGCAUGCGGCCUUUAUAGCAGGAGAGAGGCUGACAUUAUCAAGACCUCCCAUUCACUCUGUAGGUGAAGAAAUUGCCACUACAGUCAUAUCCUGAGCUUCUAGCACAGAAUCUGGCCCAUAACAGGCACCCAAUAAAUAUUUUCUGCAUCCUGUUGUUGAUGAAUGAAAUUGAAGCCUAAAGAGGUGAAGGGACUUGUUCGAAGUGAAAUAACUAAUAAAUGACAGAGCCCAGACUUCUGGGCUCCUCAUCUCAUCUGAGAGAUUUAACUCCAGUAAAACUGGAAAUAUGGACUCUGCUGGAAGUCAGAAAUAUCACUACACAUGUUUUAAUUCUGUCUCAAAAGGUCUGGGGUCCAAUAUAAAUACAUCAUUUAUUUAAAAAGAUGCCAAAUAUGGAGUUCCCAUUGUGUCUCAGUGGUUAACGAGCCCGACUAGCAUCCACGAGGAUGCGGGUUCGAUCCCUGGCCUCACUCAGUGGAUUAAGGAUCCAGCGUUGCCCUGAGCUGUGGUGUGGGUUGCAGAUGUGCCUCGGAAUCCGGCAUUGCUAUGGCUCUGGUUUAGGAUGGCGGCUACAGCUCUGAUUGGACCCCUAGCCUGAGAACCUCCAUAUGCCACAGGUGCAGCCCUAAAAAGAUAAAAACACACACACACACAAAAAAAA